rnacentral:rRNA from 1 species
AUACGGAGGGGGCUAGCGUUGUUCGGAAUUACUGGGCGUAAAGCGCGCGUAGGCGGAUACUUAAGUCAGGGGUGAAAUCCCGAGGCUCAACCUCGGAACUGCCCUUGAUACUGGGUAUCUUGAGUUCGAGAGAGGUAAGUGGAAUUCCGAGUGUAGAGGUGAAAUUCGUAGAUAUUCGGAGGAACACCAGAGGCGAAGGCGGCUUACUGGCUCGAUACUGACGCUGAGGCGCGAAAGCGUGGGUAGCAAACAGGAUUAGAUACCCCAGUAGUCC